AGUGAACGCUGGCGGUAGGCCUAACACAUGCCAGUCGAACGGCAGCACAGUAAGAGUUUGCUCUUACCGGUGGCGAGUGGCGGACGGGUGAGGAAUACAUCGGAAUCUACUUUUACGUGGGGGAUAACGUAGGGAAACUUCCGCUAAUACCGCAUACGACCUACGGGUUAAAUCAGUGGAUCUUCGCACCUUGCGCGACUGAAUUAGCUGAUGUCGGAUUAGCUAGUUGGCGGGGUAAAGGCCCACCAAGGCGACGAUCCGUAGCUGGUCUGAGAGGAUGAUCAGCCACACUGGAACUGAGACACGGUCCAGACUCCUACGGGAGGCAGCAGUGGGGAAUAUUGGACAAUGGGCGCAAGCCUGAUCCAGCCAUACCGCGUGGGUGAAGAAGGCCUUCGGGUUGUAAAGCCCUUUUGUUGGGAAAGAAAAGCAGCAGGUUAAUACCCCGCUGUUCUGACGGUACCCAAAGAAUAAGCACCGGCUAACUUCGUG
rnacentral:rRNA from 1 species